rnacentral:rRNA from 1 species
AUUGAACGCUGGCGGCAGGCUUAACACAUGCAAGUCGAGCGGAGAUGAGGUGCUUGCACCUUAUCUUAGCGGCGGACGGGUGAGUAAUGCUUAGGAAUCUGCCUAUUAGUGGGGGACAACAUUCCGAAAGGAAUGCUAAUACCGCAUACGCCCUACGGGGGAAAGCAGGGGAUCUUCGGACCUUGCGCUAAUAGAUGAGCCUAAGUCGGAUUAGCUAGUUGGUGGGGUAAAGGCCUACCAAGGCGACGAUCUGUAGCGGGUCUGAGAGGAUGAUCCGCCACACUGGGAUUGAGUACCGGACAAGACUCCUACGGGAGGCAGCAAUAGGGAAUAUUAGACAAUGGGCGGAAGCCUGAUCCAGCCAGGCCGCGUGGGUGAAGAAGGCCUUUUGGUUGUAAAGCACUUUAAGCGAGGAGGAGACUACCUGGAUUAAUACUCUAGGAUAGUGGACGUUACUCGCAGAAUAAGCACCGGCUAACUCUGUGCCAGCCGCCGCGGUAACAC